rnacentral:rRNA from 1 species
UGGGGAAUAUUGCACAAUGGGGGAAACCCUGAUGCAGCGACGCCGCGUGAAGGAAGAAGUAUUUCGGUAUGUAAACUUCUAUCAGCAGGGAAGAAGAUGACGGUACCUGAGUAAGAAGCACCGGCUAAAUACGUGCCAGCAGCCGCGGUAAUACGUAUGGUGCAAGCGUUAUCCGGAUUUACUGGGUGUAAAGGGAGCGUAGACGGAUAGGCAAGUCUGGAGUGAAAACCCAGGGCUCAACCCUGGGACUGCUUUGGAAACUGCAGAUCUGGAGUGCCGGAGAGGUAAGCGGAAUUCCUAGUGUAGCGGUGAAAUGCGUAGAUAUUAGGAGGAACACCAGUGGCGAAGGCGGCCUACUGGGCACCAACUGACGCUGAGGCUCGAAAGUGUGGGUAGCAAACAGGAUUAGAUACCCUGGUAGUCCACACCGUAAACGAUGAUUACUAGGUGUUGGAGGAUUGACCCCUUCAGUGCCGCAGUUAACACAAUAAGUAAUCCACCUGGGGAGUACGACCGCAAGGUUGAAACUCAAAGGAAUUGACGGGGGCCCGCACAAGCAGUGGAGUAUGUGGUUUAAUUCGACGCAACGCGAAGAACCUUACCAAGUCUUGACAUCCCUUGACAGGCAUAGAAAUAUGUUUUCUCUUCGGAGCAAGGAGACAGGUGGUGCAUGGUUGUCGUCAGCUCGUGUCGUGAGAUGUUGGGUUAAGUCCCGCAACGAGCGCAACCCCUAUUGUUAGUUGCUACGCAAGAGCACUCUAGCGAGACUGCCGUUGACAAAACGGAGGAAGGUGGGGACGACGUCAAAUCAUCAUGCCCCUUAUGUCCUGGGCUACACACGUAAUACAAUGGCGGUCAACAGAGGGAUGCAAAGCCGUAAGGUGGAGCGAACCCCUAAAAGCCGUCUCAGUUCAGAUUGUGGGCUGCAACCCGCCCACAUGAAGUCGGAAUCGCUAGUAAUCGCGGAUCAGCAUGCCGCGGUGAAUACGUUCCC